AUUGAACGCUAGCGGAAUGCUUUACACAUGCAAGUCGAACGGCAGCGCGGGUGCUUGCACCUGGCGGCGAGUGGCGAACGGGUGAGUAAUGUAUCGGAACGUGCCCAGUAGCGGGGGAUAACUACGCGAAAGCGUAGCUAAUACCGCAUACGCCCUAAGGGGGAAAGGUGGGGAUUCUUCGGAACCUGUCACUAUUGGAGCGGCCGAUAUCGGAUUAGCUAGUUGGUGGGGUAAAGGCCUACCAAGGCGACGAUCCGUAGCUGGUUUGAGAGGACGACCAGCCACACUGGGACUGAGACACGGCCCAGACUCCUACGGGAGGCAGCAGUGGGGAAUUUUGGACAAUGGGGGAAACCCUGAUCCAGCCAUUUCGCGUGUGCGAUGAAGGCCUUCGGGUUGUAAAGNNNNNUNNCGGGGAAGAAAAGUGCCGGGUUAAUACCCUGGCGCGCUGAC
rnacentral:rRNA from 1 species